rnacentral:rRNA from 1 species
AUGUAUAUCCAGUUGAUAGGAUUGGGUGGACUUCUUAAGACACCUAGCAUCAAAAUUAGACGUGUACUGUGCCUGGUCAUCGCUAAUUCAUAUGAUGCAGAGCAGGAUGCCUUUAUCAUCAAUGGGAGACCAUGUAGGAUCACACUAGAAAAUGUAGCGCAUAUAACAGGCAUGCCCUGCCAUGGGAAGAAGCACGUCCCUUCAAAUCUUGAUGAUAAUAUGGAGUUGUGGAAGAAACUGAAAGACCGUAAUGACACCAGAAUAACUUUCAAAUGA